CAAGAUGAAUCAUUCCUGCAUAGUAAUCUCAGGGCAUAUUUGUAUUUAGAUAAGUGUGUAUGUCCAGUUAAUAGUAAAAUUUGGUGUUUUUAUGUUCCUCUUUCUGCAGUUUUCUUGCUGCAUUGGUCAUGAUUUCUGUUGCUUUCUAACAUUUCAGUUUACAAAACUAUUACACAAGUAUGUAUAUGCGCCAUGUCCCAUGGACAUACAUGGAACUUCCCAUCUAUAUAGCAAAAUCUAUGUGUUUAUGUCAUUUUCAAUCUUGACAUAAAGAAUGCUCAAUACAGGCUCAAAAUAUUUUUAUGAAUUAGUGAAUUAAUAAGCUAGACUAUAAGGUGCUCAUUUGAAUUGCUUGAUCGGUUUCGGUAAACUUCAAAAUAAGAGUUGACAACAAAUUAUGUCCAUGUGUCGUAGAACACUUAUUUUGCAUGAAUAACCUUUAGUUUAUCAUGAGUUCUCAUGAUAGUGUCAACUCCAGUUUCUCCUAUUUUUUAGCCAAUCAGGAAGUAAUUAUAUAUUAGGUUGCAGUGAUCAUUGACUUGUCGAGGAUGAAGUGGGAGGCGUCAUCUGCCCAAGCCAUCAGGUAGUCCUAUGCUUAGGUUUUUUUUUUCCUUGGCAUUGGUACUAAUUAUGAUGAUCUCAGUGCCGACAAGCAGUUAUUGGGCUCUUCCCUCUGUUCGAAUUAUAAUUUCUUGAUUUGAAGUUUAGUAGUGCCACGGGCAGCUGACUGUAAUAAUGUUACACAAACUGUCACCAUAUUAAAAGCUUAGUUUCACUCUUUAACGUAAAUCCUAAAUUGCAUUUUCUUUAUAAUGAAUAACUCCUGGAUGAUUUUUGUUUAAGAGCAGAACUUUGUGAAUGGAAGAGGUUAUGAAGUUUGCUAUUCUGGUUUCGGAAACAAAAUAAGUAAGUCCAAUCUGCGUGACCUUCAUGUCCAUAACGGGGGUGAUAUAGUCAAUGGCUCUUUUCACUUGUUCAUUUCAUAAUAGCUAUGGAGUAAUGUGGUGCACACUAUACUCAAAUAGAUUGGAAAUUAUUUGUAAUCUACAUUAACAUAUUGCUUCAGUGAUUAUCGGUGCGUGCUUUGCCAUGCCAGAUAAGUGAGAAAGGCCGAUGCUUGGUGUAGUGUAGCCCAAGGUGAAAGCGACUACUCACACAUCCCUCUACGCUUAUUUCACAUGAAAUGUUAUUCACAGUUGAUUUUCCGAUUGCCAUCUAUUAUUUGCUGUUUGUUUGUAGAUACAAAUACGAUGCGCCAAUUGUAGUUGUUGAGAGUGAGUGCAAUACUGAUAUACAAUGAUGUUGAAGAGGAUAUGUAUCUAAAAUGUUUACAAGAUAAGUGAAAACCAUUAUUUUUCAUAUGAUGUUGAUGUAUGGGGUUAGGCACAAAUCGAAACUUUGCCAAAUCUGAUCUUUUAGAGGGUUUAAUCUGAUUUCUAAAACUGUUCUUGAGCCAAAUAAAGUAAAUGGUCUUUUUACAUAGCUUCAGUUCUACUUGAUGAAUUUAUGUUAGUCGAGAAGCGCAUUGAACAGGAUAUAUGACAUUAGAAUGUUGCUACAAAGUUUUGCUCUAAAGUUAUCAUAUUAGAUAUGAUGAAGUAACCGAUGUGCAUACAAAUAUCGAUCCACAUUUAUGAUUCAUUAUCCUUGUGUGAAAAUUCAUCCAUCUAUACUUCUUUAAAAGGGGAAACAAAUGUUGUGAUACAUUUGGUUGCAUUGAAAUGCUAAAAUUCGAGAGCUCAUAUAUUCGCAUGCGAAAGUACUGGGUAAGAUGCCUAAAAUGCUGACGUGAUACAUGUAAGAGAGAAAUCUUAUGAUUUAGGCAAGUUUGUGAAGUGGUACAUCUCAUCAAGAUUAAACUUGCAAGUCCAUGGAUAUAUUUCAAAUCAUUGCACAUGUAGAAUUACAAGUAGCUAUGUGUAGAUUGAAACUAUGUAUUAAAAUGAGACACCCCACGCUACUACUGAGUGACUGCCGCACCACCCACCACCCAAUCCACUCCCACCCCACCAAACUCUUCGUGAACACCCCACCCCUCGGUCGAACUCCUCUCCCCCACGAUCUGGUCGCUUCCGCUACCACCCACGCUGGCAACCCACGCGUCCCUCUCCCCCGAUUCCCGAUUCAUCCUCGCGGAUCAGAUCUGGCUGGCUGACUGACUGACGGAUCGGUUUCUUGUCCUCGUGAUGGAUGUUGCUUUGCAGGUGGCUAGGGUCUCCGCCUUCGGCGUCGGCGUCCUCUACGGCUCUGUCAAGCUCGGCAUCCUCAAGAAAAUUCCAAAGGCCAUAGUGUAUCCAAGAACAAAAUCAGUGAUUUUGUGAAGCCACGAUGAGCUAGGGGUUGCACCGCAGGAGCAUAGCGUGUACAAGUACUGAACAUUGAAGAUUGCAUUGCAGCUCAUCAGUAGAAGGUAGCGAUAGAGAGGGCAGCUUUGUGUAGAUAUCUUACCUCAAGGUUAUCACGGAUGCGCACAAUAUGACACGGAAUUGGCAAAAAAUAGGGAGCUACAAUAUGAACUUUCAAAGGUUAUAAGAUCUCAGUGUCUGCUUCAAUGAAGAGAUUUGAAGAGUUGCAAAAGGUAAUUUUGGGGCAAAUUUCCAUUGCUGCAAGAUAAUGAGAUGUUGAAGCGGCAAACUGAAUCCUUGACACCGAAGUGCAGUUGCGGCAGAUUAUCUAUAUUCUCCCUUUUUCAUUUUUCUUAUUAUUGGAGUGAGAACAGGUCGAAUGAGGAAUACUGUGAUAGUAGAUACAACAAAUGUAGUAAAAAGAAACUUAUGUUUGCAAUUGUUAAUGACAUACAUACUUGCAUGUUUUUUGAAGUGGUCAUUCGUGAGUAGCAAUGCAUAAUGAAGGUUUUUGGCUCAUUUAUGGACUGCCUGAUCCGGAGGCUCUCGGGGCAAGCGUGCUCUAAGAACUCUGACCUGACGGACGGCUGCACCUCCAGCUCCAACGAAAAUGCACCGCCGCACGCCGUCGCCUACAUGGAAGAGGGCCACAGCCGCGCCGACAACCAUAAGAGGAAGGGGCCGUCGAGGAAAUGGUGAUUUCCUCCUCCCUUCCUCAUUUUAUUUAUGUUUUAUCUAUGUUUUAAGUAGUUUGUAGUAUGGAUUUGUACUGUCCGCCAAGGAACUCCGAUGAACUAUGGUCCUUUUGUCCGGCGAUGAA